ensembl:lncRNA novel transcript
AGACAGACUAUGAAGAGAUACAUAGGGUGAGAAACGGAGGCCUUCAGCCAACAGCUGGGAGAAGCUGAGUCCCAUCAGCCAUUCAAAAGACUGCAGCCCCAGCCAAGAGUUUGAUGUAACCUCAGGAGAGACCCUGAGCCAGAACCACCUAGAAAUCUCCAAGUGAGAAGACCUUACUUGUCUUCUGAAAGUCUGGCCAACGAGCUAUACCUAGUGAUUCCAAAGUCCACAUAUAUUUACUCUGUUCUCACUGUACAAAGUAACCACUCUGAAGUCAAAAAAGCUGGGAUACAUGAAGACUGCCAUCCCUUGAGUCACUUGCCCUGUAGCUGCCACUGUUGGAAAAGGGCUUGCUUCUGUGUCCUUGUGCCCACUUUGAAAAUCCCUGGGAAGUCCUUGGAGUCAGAUGAGCAGGCCUCCGCCACUCUGCCAAAAAGUCUGUUCACAGGAAGUUUCACAUCACUAGAGAAGAGAGAAGAAGGACAUUUGUACUGGGAGGAGUCGACCGGUCCCAGUAAGGAGAAAGUAGCUACAGCGUCAUGGGUGAGCUGGGUCCCCCAAAAAGGAACUUUAAGGGAAUGGACUGAAUCAAGUCUGAGAUGUCCCCAAAGCAAGACCAAAGAACUGAGGAAGAGAAGCAUUCAUCAGAAACCAAAAUUCAGCUACAAGUGAGCAUCCAGAUGGAGGUAUUAUGAAGAGGAACUGAGACUGAGGGCAAAAGGUGCCAGCCAGAAUCCUGGAUAGGAGAGCAAGAACCAGGACCUCAUUUAAGAGACAACCUGCUUAAGGCAGAGUAAGGUGAGAUUGGAUUCACGCAAAGACCUGGAAUUCAAGUAGGUUAAUGAACAGACAGUGUGUGCCUAUACCACGAAUUUACAAUAAUAAUAAGGGUGCUAAUAAUCACAUGGAAUUGUAGAGUAUAAUGAAAAUAUACACACUGGAGAGAAAUUGCACGGGUUGGCAUCUCAGCUUUGUCAUUUACUAUAACAGUGACCUUGGGCAAGUUAUUUAACCACUCUCUGCCUCAAUUUCCUGAUCAGUAAAAUGAGCUAAUAAUACUUUCUUUUUAUUUU